CCCGCUGAACUUAAGCAUAUCAAUAAGCGGAGGAAAAGAAACUAACAAGGAUUCCCCUAGUAACUGCGAGUGAAGCGGGAAGAGCUCAAAUUUAAAAUCUGGCGUGCCUCUGGUCGUCCGAGUUGUAGUCUGGAGAAGCGUUUUCCGUGUUGGACCGUGUACAAGUCUCUUGGAACAGGGCGUCAUAGAGGGUGAGAAUCCCGUCUUUGACACGGACUUCCAAUGCUUUGUGAUGCGCUCUCAAAGAGUCGAGUUGUUUGGGAAUGCAGCUCAAAAUGGGUGGUAAAUUCCAUCUAAAGCUAAAUAUUGGGGAGAGACCGAUAGCGAACAAGUACCGUGAGGGAAAGAUGAAAAGAACUUUGGAAAGAGAGUUAAACAGUACGUGAAAUUGCUGAAAGGGAAACGCUUGAAGUCAGUCGCGUCAGUUUGGGAUCAGCCUUCCUUUUGGUGGGUGUACUUCCUUAUUGAUGGGUCAGCAUCAGUUUUGAUCAGUGGAUAAGAACUUGAGGAAUGUGGCAUCUUCGGGUGUGUUAUAGCCUCUUGUUGUAUGCAUUGGUUGGGACUGAGGAACUCAGCACGCCGCAAGGCCGGGUCUUUGACCACGUUCGUGCUUAGGAUGCUGGCAUAAUGGCUUUAAUCGACCCGUCUUGAAACACGG
rnacentral:rRNA from 1 species